rnacentral:sRNA from 1 species
GUUUCGCAUGAAGGAUGGCAGUGGAAAUCCUCCCGAUUUUUCUUCGGGAGAUUGAAGCGUACAGCCUGACCUUGU